rnacentral:rRNA from 1 species
ACCAAGGAGUCUAACAUAUUUGCAAGUUAUUGGGUAAAGAAAAUACCUCAGUGGCAUAAUUAACAUAACUUUUUUUUAUAAUAAUAUGGGAUUAGUUUUUAGAGAUUAUAUUUUUUUUUAAAAAAUAUAAUAAUUCUAUUAAUUCAAUCCCGGGACGUUCUUAUAUGGUUAUGUAUAAUAAUAUUUUAUUAUAUUAUUUAUACCUCUAACUAGAGCGUACCCUGAGCAUAUAUGCUGUGACCCGAAAGAUGGUGAACUAUACUUGAUCAGGUUGAAGUCAGGGGAAACCCUGAUGGAAGACCGAAACAGUUCUGACGUGCAAAUCGAUUGUCAGAAUUGAGUAUAGGGGCGAAAGACCAAUCGAACCAUCUAGUAGCUGGUUCCCUCCGAAGUUUCCCUCAGGAUAGCUGGUGCGUUUAAAGAUUAUGUAAAAUAAUCUUAUCUGGUAAAGCGAAUGAUUAGAGGCCUUAGGGUCGAAACGGCCUUAACCUAUUCUCAAACUUUAAAUGGGUAAGAACCUCACCUUUCUUGGUACGAAGGUUGUGGUUGUGAUAUAAUGUGCCCAGUGGGCCACUUUUGGUAAGCAGAACUGGCGCUGUGGGAUGAACCAAACGUAAUGUUACGGUGCCCAAAUUAACAACUCAUGCAGAUACCAUGAAAGGCGUUGGUUGCUUAAAACAGCAGGACGGUGGACAUGGAAGUCGUAAUCCGCUAAGGAGUGUGUAAUAACUCACCUGCCGAAGCAACUAGCCCUUAAAAUGGAUGGCGCUUAAGUUGUAUACCUAUACAUUACCGCUAAAGUAAAUGGUUUAUGUUCAAGUAUUUAUAUUUGGAUUUAUAAACUUUGAAACUUUGGCGAGUAGGAGGGUACUAUGGUGUGCUUUGAAGUGUUUGGCGUAAGCCUGCAUGGAGCCGCCAUUGGUACAGAUCUUGGUGGUAGUAGCAAAUAAUCGAAUGAGACCUUGGAGGACUGAAGUGGAGAAGGGUUUCGUGUGAACAGUGGUUGAUCACGAGUUAGUCGGUCCUAAGUUCAAGGCGAAAGCCGAAAAUUUUCAAGUUUAUAAUUAUGGAUAUAAAAAAAAAAAGAAGAAGAAGAAAAAAAAAAAGAAGAAGAGGACAUGCAAUGUAUAUGUGUUAUAUGGUGUGUUAUUAUAAUAUAUUAAUUAUUAUAUAUUAUAGAUGCAUUUAUAUAAGAGAUAUACGUAUGUCGUAAAGAAAAAUAUAUAUAUAUAUUUAUAUAUAUAAUAUAUAUAUUAUGAUGAUAUAUAUUAUUGUUAAUAUACAUACAUAUAUGUGUAAUUUUUCUUUUUUACAUAUAAUAUUAUGAAUUUAAACAUUUGAAUAAUUGUUGAACGAAAGGGAAUACGGUUCCAAUUCCGUAACUUGUUGAGUAUCCGUUUGUUAAUAAAUAUGGGCCUUGUGCUCAUCCUGGUAACAGGAACGACCAUAAAGAAGCCGUCGAGAGAUAUCGGAAGAGUUUUCUUUUCUGUUUUAUAGUCGUACUACCAUGGAAGUCUUUCGAAGAGAGAUAUGGUAGAUGGGCUAGAAGAGCAUGACAUUUACUGUUGUGUCGAUAUUUUCUCCUCGGACCUUGAAAAUUUAUGGUGGGGUCACGCAAACUUCUCAACUAGCCGUACCAAUAUCCGCAGCUGGUCUCCAAGGUGAAGAGUCUCUAGUCGAUAAAAUA